GUAUAGGUUUUUAUAGACCAUUUCAUUACAUUCUAUAACAUACAUUGGGGUAUAAUGAAGAAACAUAGGCCCAAGAAAUAUAAGGAAAGUAAGUCAAUCCUCAAACCUGAAUGCGAGCAUUCAGAAAGAUAUCUUGGGUCUACAAAAGGUGCACAGGUGGAGAUAUAAAGAUGACAAGUGUGCACAUGUUUAAAAAACCAGCGACAACCUAUCAAGUUUACUUUCAAUAAUGAUCCUUCCGCAGGUUCACCUACGGAAA
rnacentral:misc_RNA from 1 species